rnacentral:rRNA from 1 species
UACGGGGGGAGCAAGCGUUGUUCGGAUUUACUGGGCGUAAAGGGCGCGUAGGCGGCCAGCACAAGUCAGUUGUGAAAUCUCCGAGCUUAACUCGGAACGGUCAACUGAUACUGUGCGGCUAGAGUGCAGAAGGGGCAACUGGAAUUCUCGGUGUAGCGGUGAAAUGCGUAGAUAUCGAGAGGAACACCUGCGGCGAAGGCGGGUUGCUGGGCUGACACUGACGCUGAUGUGCGAAAGCUAGGGGAGCGAACAGG